rnacentral:lncRNA from 1 species
GAAGAGAGGCAUGGGAGGGACAGGUGAUGCUGUUUUGACCCAGUACAGGUUAUCAUGGGGACCAAAUGAGAUCAAGUGUCCAAAAUCACUUAGUACACAAUCAAGCUUUAUUACUUCUGCUGCUUACCUGAGCCAAAUCAUUCAUAUGUAUGUAUUAAUCACUUACAACAAUGGUAUAUAAUCUGUUCUGCGUGACAACAAAAAUGGACGCGAUGAAAUUCACAUUUCAAGACACUUAUGAUGGAAUGCUUUCAAGUUAAAUUCUACAAUCUUACAUAAAAAGAAAUACUGUCUGGAGCUCAGUGCAAAAAGGAAGAAACUUUGGUUUUAUAGAAAGAGUUCACCUGUGCUGUAGAGGGCAAGCAAAGUAUCAGGUAACCACGGGAGGAGAGGAGGGUUUGAGUCAAGUGCUGAAGAUUUGCUAAGUUUUGGCUAGAAUCUGGAAUCUCUGAACUAGAAGAAGGUCUGGGGACCUCUAGUCCAAUUUGUUUGCAACUGUAGGACAUUCCUGGGUGUGAUCAUAUGGGAAUUGUCUGCUUGAGCCUUUUAGGGAACCUAGAUGAUGAUAUUGCCAGGUACCAUGCUAGGUUCUUCCCUUUUAUAAAAGGCAACAUUAUGAAGCUGUGAUUAUCUCCAUUUCAUAGGAGGACAAAGGUCAGGGAUGUUCAGUGACCUGUUGGGUUUGGCUAAGCUGUAAGGUUAAGUUUUGCAAGAAGAGCUGAGGAGUUAGGAGUUGAUACUUUGGAAUCAGACAGGGCUGCAUUUAAAUCCUGGUUUUGCUACUACAUAGUUAGACAAUUUACAUAAUCCCUCUGAGCUUCAGUUUCCUGGUGUGUAAAAUGGGUAUGAUCAUCAUAAAUCCUGCACAGAGUUAUGAGAAUUAGAGUUAGUAGACAAUGUUGUAAAGCACUUAGAAAAGUAUGUGGCAUGUUAAGGACUUGACAAAUAAUGUGUUUCCACUCUCAUGGACAGAAAAGAAAGAAACAUAGACUGGAGGCUACAAAUUCAUAUGUGGCUUUGAGGAGGGAAGUGCCAUUAUAAGAAACAAGAUUUGGUUUUAAAUGCUAAGUCUGAAUGUCAAAGCUUGUCUCUUGCCCACAGUAAUGAGCUUGCAUUUGUCUGUAUGUUUUGCUCAAGGUUUCUCAAGUCCAGCACUAUGGGUAUUUGGGGCUGGAUAAAUUCUUUCUUGGAGGGGUUUGCAGGGGUGGAGGCUGUCCUGUGCAUUACAGUAUAUUUAGCAACAUCCUUGGCCUCUGCCCAUUAGAUGCCGGCAGUACAUCCCCCAACCCCCGUGACAAUCAAUACCGUCUGCAGACAUUGUCGAGUGUUCCCAGGGAACAGAAUUGACCCUGGCUGAGAACCAUUUGUCUAUCCAUUGCCUCUGUUCCUUCUACUGCAGCAGUCCAUGUAGCUCCCCUGUGAGCAUUUUGGCCCAGACUCUCCUAGCAGCUCACAGCUGGAAAGUCCUUGCACAGCUUCCCCAGGAAUAUACAAUAACUCAAACCAAGACUGUCUUUUUUCCCUUAAUUCUCAUGAUUGCACAGUGUUGCUUUUCAGUUUUCAACUCUGGGAAUUUAUCUUUUCUCACUCGCCAAAGCCACAGCUGAGAGCAAGCAGCAGAAACUGAUUAACACUGUCUGUCCAGGCUGAAGCUAUUGAACAAUUACAAGAUGAGGAAACAGAUGUGAGAGGUGAAAUAACUUGCCUGAGGAAACACAGCUCAAACUGGAACUGACUCCUAAGUCUAUGAUUUUAACCUCUAUGCAUAUGUAAUCCUUGUGAAGAUGGUUCUAUGAAAAGUCCGUAACAACAUACAACCCAUUAAUUUAGUACCAGAUGUAAAAUGUGAUUUAACUGCCUUAUUGAAAAGAAUAAACUUGCAUGAAAUUGAGACCUGACUGUUCCAUUUCUAGGAAAUUGUCCUUCUUGAUGUGUUUGAGCCAGAUCUGAGAGCUUCUGCCAGGAGAGCAAUUAGAACUUGCAGACUCCCACUGAAGUCCCAUUUAGCUCCGUGUGUCUGGGGGAGGAAACCAAGGCAGCUCAUAGCAAUAACUUCAUUGAGUUGUUACCCUGUUGAUACCUUUCUAUUCAUCAGGCUUGCAAAGGAAGCAGAGAACUCUGUUUCCCUGCCUUCCUCAUUCCCUCACCUCCCCAAAAACAUACACCCACCGCCACUGCCACGUCCUUUAUUUCUCUACUCUUUUUUUUUUUUUUAGAUGAAGUCUAGCUCUUGUUGCCCAGGCUAGAGUGCAGUGGCGCAAUCUUGGCUUACUGCAACCUCCGCCUCCCAGGUUCAAGCUUCUCCUGCCUCAGCCUCCUGAGUAGCUGGGAUUACAGGUGCCCGCCAACACACCUGGCUAAUUUUUGUACUUUUAGUAGAGACGGG